rnacentral:rRNA from 1 species
CAGCAGCCACUGUAAUACAGAGGGUGCGAGCGUUAAUCGGAUUUACUGGGCGUAAAGCGUGCGUAGGCGGCUAAUUGAGUCGGAUGUGAAAUCCCCGAGCUUAACUUGGGAAUUGCAUUCGAUACUGGUUAGCUAGAGUGUGGGAGAGGAUGGUAGAAUUCCAGGUGUAGCGGUGAAAUGCGUAGAGAUCUGGAGGAAUACCGAUGGCGAAGGCAGCCAUCUGGCCUAACACUGACGCUGAGGUACGAAAGCAUGGGGAGCAAACAGGAUUAGAUACCCCAGUAGUCCCUGUCUCUUAUAA